rfam:Gorilla gorilla gorilla genomic chromosome, chr16, whole genome shotgun sequence
GCCAGGCAUGGUGGUGCAUGCCUGUAGUCCCAGCUACUUGGGAGGCUGAGGCAAGAGGAUCACUUGAGCCCAGGAGUUUGAGGCUGCAGUGAGCUAUGAUUGCACCACUGCACUCCAGCCUGGGUGACAGAGCAAGACCCUGUCUCAU